GCAGAAAGGGAAAUUGAAACCCUAAAUGCUUGCCCCUCUUCAGUUCGCCGUUCGACCCCUAUUCCACCAUUGUAAUCGAUGGACGAUGGUCUAAGGUAGUUCCCCACGUUCAAGGUUCGUCAAUUUCAACCUCAAAAUCUCCUCUCAAACUUCGAUGUCUAUGAAGGAGAGGAGGAUUUCAGUCGUUUAUUCACGAAGGUAUUGGGUACGGGGCGUGUGCUGGCACUUGGCGUGAGGCAUACGGAGGCGCGUGUGGCGGUCGUACGGUGCUGAAGGCUGGGGCUUGGCUGCGGCGCAAGGGAGAGAAUCCUAGGGUUUCUGUUGUUUUAAUUUUUUGGGCCUGCUGGGCCGUAUAAUCUUGGGCUAGGGUUAGUAUUAAUUUUGGGUUUGUAAUUUGGACUUUGAUGAUGGACUAUUGGAUUUUUGUUUAUUUAUUUGUUUCUUUAUUUUGGUUGUUGGGCCCUGGGUAAAUCGGGCUUUCUAUAGAGGUUAUCGCCGAUUUUAUCGAUCCGAUCCACAAGAAACGAUACCAUA